rnacentral:lncRNA from 1 species
AUUCAUAUUUAUUCGUGGUAUACCAAUUUUCGUGGGUUUCGUGGGUCACAGCGAACCACGAAUUUAAGAAUUCAACGAAGAAUAAUCCCGAGAAAUGUGUAUGGAGUUGGAUGUUUAUUUCCGGUUAUGUUAUGCAGUUCUAGUAUAGUGUUAACAUUGUAACAUAACACGUGAUUUUUAUUGAAAGAAGAUACAAGUAUUUUGAUUAAAUCUAUAAUAAAUAUAUCGAAUAUCAGUGAUAAUUUACUUUUUAAAAUU